rnacentral:rRNA from 1 species
CCUGGAAACAGAUGCUAAUACCGGAUAACAACAGAUGAUGCCUAUCAACUGUUUAAAAGAUGGUUCUGCUAUCACUCUUGGAUGGACCUGCGGUGCAUUAGCUAGUUGGUAGGGUAACGGCCUACCAAGGCGAUGAUGCAUAGCCGAGUUGAGAGACUGAUCGGCCACAUUGGGACUGAGACACGGCCCAAACUCCUACGGGAGGCAGCAGCU